rnacentral:rRNA from 1 species
GACGAACGCUGGCGGCGUGCUUAACACACGCAAGUCGAGCGGUAAGGCCCUUUCGGGGGUACGACGAGCGGCGAACGGGUGGAGUAACACGUGGGUGACCUGCCCUCCAGCUCUGGGAGUAAAGCCUCGGGAAACCGGGUACUAAUACUGGAUAUGACUCCAUGACGCAUGUUGUGGGGUGGAAAGCCUUGUGCGGCUGAGGAUGGGCCCGGCGGCCUAUCAGCUUGUUGGUGGGGUGAUGGCCUACCAAGGCGACGACGGGUAGCCGGCCUGAGAGGGCGACCGGCCACACUGGGACUGAGACACGGCCCAGACUCCUACGGGAGGCAGCAGUGGGGAAUCUUGCGCAAUGGGCGAAAGCCUGACGCAGCGACG